rnacentral:ncRNA from 1 species
GGGUUCGGUGCGGCGGCCGGUCUUCCAAAGGACCACCGGGGAGAAAGAACCCCCACCAAACCCCACCCUUUCCCUCCCGGGCCGGACGCUCACUCGUGCGAGUGAAAGUCACCAACUGGGCUGGAUUCGGGAGGGGUUGCCUGCUUUACGCUCGGCUCGACCGGCAUAUGCCACCAGACAUGCGUCGGCCCUCGCUGGGACGGCAAUCCCAAGACGAGGGCCUGACCACAAGGAAGAAGCAACCUUCCCG